UACGAAGGGAGCUAGCGUUGUUCGGAAUCACUGGGCGUAAAGCGCACGUAGGCGGAUCGCUAAGUCAGGGGUGAAAUCCCAGGGCUCAACCCUGGAACUGCCUUUGAUACUGACGAUCUGGAGAUCGGGAGAGGUUGGUGGAAUUCCGAGUGUAGAGGUGAAAUUCGUAGAUAUUCGGAGGAACACCAGAAGCGAAGGCGGCCAACUGGCCCGAUACUGACGCUGAGGCGCGAAAGCGUGGGGAGCAAACAGG
rnacentral:rRNA from 1 species